UACGUAGGGUCCGAGCGUUGUCCGGAAUUACUGGGCGUAAAGCGCUCGUAGGUGGUUUGUCGCGUUGUUCGUGAAAACUCACAGCUCAACUGUGGGCGUGCGGGCGAUACGGGCAGACUUGAGUACUGCAGGGGAGACUGGAAUUCCUGGUGUAGCGGUGGAAUGCGCAGAUAUCGGGAAGAACACCCGUGGCGAAGGCGACCUUCUGGGCCGCAACUGACGCUGAGGCACGAAAGCGUGGGGAGCAAACGGG
rnacentral:rRNA from 1 species